rnacentral:rRNA from 1 species
UUCUGUAGCAAGGUUAACCGAAUAGGGGAGCCGAAGGGAAACCGAGUCUUAACUGGGCGUUAAGUUGCAGGGUAUAGACCCGAAACCCGGUGAUCUAGCCAUGGGCAGGUUGAAGGUUGGGUAACACUAACUGGAGGACCGAACCGACUAAUGUUGAAAAAUUAGCGGAUGACUUGUGGCUGGGGGUGAAAGGCCAAUCAAACCGGGAGAUAGCUGGUUCUCCCCGAAAGCUAUUUAGGUAGCGCCUCGUGAAUUCAUCUCCGGGGGUAGAGCACUGUUUCGGCAAGGGGGUCAUCCCGACUUACCAACCCGAUGCAAACUGCGAAUACCGGAGAAUGUUAUCACGGGAGACACACGGCGGGUGCUAACGUCCGUCGUGAAGAGGGAAACAACCCAGACCGCCAGCUAAGGUCCCAAAGUCAUGGUUAAGUGGGAAACGAUGUGGGAAGGCCCAGACAGCCAGGAUGUUGGCUUAGAAGCAGCCAUCAUUUAAAGAAAGCGUAAUAGCUCACUGGUCGAGUCGGCCUGCGCGGAAGAUGUAACGGGGCUAAACCAUGCACCGAAGCUGCGGCAGCGACACUAUGUGUUGUUGGGUAGGGGAGCGUUCUGUAAGCCUGUGAAGGUGUGCUGUGAGGCAUGCUGGAGGUAUCAGAAGUGCGAAUGCUGACAUAAGUAACGAUAAAGCGGGUGAAAACCCCGCUCGCCGGAAGACCAAGGGUUCCUGUCCAACGUUAAUCGGGGCAGGGUGAGUCGACCCCUAAGGCGAGGCCGAAAGGCGUAGUCGAUGGGAAACAGGUUAAUAUUCCUGUACUUGGUGUUACUGCGAAGGGGGGACGGAGAAGGCUAUGUUGGCCGGGCGACGGUUGUCCCGGUUUAAGCGUGUAGGCUGGUUUUCCAGGCAAAUCCGGAAAAUCAAGGCUGAGGCGUGAUGACGAGGCACUACGGUGCUGAAGCAACAAAUGCCCUGCUUCCAGGAAAAGCCUCUAAGCAUCAGGUAACAUCAAAUCGUACCCCAAACCGACACAGGUGGUCAGGUA